GACGAACGCUGGCGGCGUGCUUAACACAUGCAAGUCGAACGGUGAAGCGCCUUCCUUUUUGGUGGGUGUGGAUGAGUGGCGAACGGGUGAGUAACACGUGAGUAACCUGCCCCCUUCUUCUGGAUAACCGCAUGAAAGUGUGGCUAAUACGGGAUAUUCUGGGUCUGUCGCAUGAUGGGUCUGGGAAAGAUAUUGUUUCGGUGGGGGAUGGGCUCGCGGCCUAUCAGCUUGUUGGUGGGGUGAUGGCCUACCAAGGCGGUGACGGGUAGCCGGCCUGAGAGGGUGGACGGUCACACUGGGACUGAGACACGGCCCAGACUCCGACGGGAGGCAGCAGUGGGGAGUAUUGCACAAUGGGCGCAAGCCUGAUGCAGCGACGCCGCGUGAGGGAUGGAGGCCUUCGGGUUGUGAACCUCUUUCGCCAGUGAAGCAGGCCUGCCUCGUUUGUGGGUGGGUUGACGGUAGCUGGAUAAGAAGCGCCGGCUAACUACGUG
rnacentral:rRNA from 1 species